rnacentral:rRNA from 1 species
UGAUAUUUUUCAUGGUAUUGAUAAAGCUGUUGCCGAUACUUGGAACAAUUUCUGGAAAGACGGUAAAGCUGAUGGUAUUGGCUCUAAUUUGUCUAGGAAAUAACCGUCAGGAUUGACACCCUCCCAAUUGUAUGUUUUCAUGCCUCCAAAUCUUGGAGGCUUUUUUAUGGUUCGUUCUUAUUACCCUUCUG